GGUCUGGUGGUGUAGUUGGUUAUCACGUCAGUCUAACAGAUCGAGAGCCUCACCUCUCUCCUCUGCCACACUGAAGGUCUCCGGUUCAAAUCCGGGCUAGAUCA
rfam:Colletotrichum fioriniae PJ7 Scaffold_846.1, whole genome shotgun sequence.